rnacentral:rRNA from 1 species
UACAGAGGUCCCGAGCGUUGUUCGGAUUCACUGGGCGUAAAGGGUGCGUAGGUGGUGGGGUAAGUCUGAUGUGAAAUCUCCGAGCUCAACUCGGAAAUGGCAUUGGAAACUACUCUGCUCGAGGGUUGGAGGGGGGACUGGAAUACUUGGUGUAGCAGUGAAAUGCGUAGAUAUCAAGUGGAACACCAGUGGCGAAGGCGAGUCCCUGGACAACUCCUGACACUGAGGCACGAAAGCUAGGGGAGCAAACAGG